GAAUUCCUUCUUUAAUAACUUCUUACAGUAGUUAAAUCGAUUACAAAUGUUAAUAUUACUUUUAACUGAUAUUUAUUUUCUCUAAAAUUUAAAAUUACAAAUCUAAUUUAUCUGUUCACACAAAUAGGAUAUUGUUCUCUUAGCUUUUGCGGAUGAUGUUAUUCUUUUUGCGAAGGCUACUCUUGACCAGGUCUAUUUGGUUAAGAAUAUUUUAGAUUUGUUUUGCAGGAGUUCGGGGCAGACAAUAAAUCUCCAAUUAUGUUGGAAGACACUUGAGCAACAAGUUAGUGAUGAGAAGGAGAUACCAUGGACUGAGGACUAGGAUAAGAAGAGUGACUCCGAGAUGAUGUUGCCAAGGUAUGUCAUGCAAACUACACUCCUACCCAAAUCCACUCGUGAUGAUGUUGAUAAAGUCUACAGGAAUUUCAUUUGGGGUCAUAGCUCAAUGGACAAAAGAUGCAUCUAGUGUCAUGAGACAAGAUCAGCACUCACAAGGAGCAGGGAGGGCUAGGCUUGAGGAAAAUGAGAUAUGAUGAGAGCCAAUUGGAGAUUCUCCUGUUUGGGCUCCUUUUAUCAGGAGCAAGUAUCGUUGUGGCUCUAGUAUUCUGCCAAUGCUCAAUAAGCAAACACAAAUAAAAAACUUUUGGCGGGGUAUUUGUUCUAUUUGGGACACAUUCUGUCAGAAUAUCAUUCGAAGUUACCAUCACCUUGAUAAAAUUUUGGAACGAUGCUUGGAUUCCAAGCUGUGGCAGAUUGGUGGAUGUAGCUGCUAGUAACACUCCCCAUUAUGAGCUUCAAAAAUCUGUGGCUGAGUAUAUUGAUGUGAAUGGUUGUUGGCAAAUUCAUACAAUUAAGGAUUAUCUUUCCCCUAAUGUUGUGAAGAUGGUAACAGAUAUGGAAGUUAGUUACAAUACUGACCGAGCAGAUAGUAUAGCAUGGAGAGGAAGUCUAGUGAUGGAGUGUGCUUUAUGAAAUAUGUGUAUGAGGUGAAUGGUGUAGCAACUCACAAGAAUCAUGCUCUCUUCAUGGAGAUGAGGAAGUGGAAGGAUCCUGAAUAUGCAAAGGGCUUUCUUUGAAAGAUCAGCCAAGAAUGCAUUCUCACUAAUUUUAGGACAAUGCUUUUUGGUUUAAGCCCUUCAAAUUUAUGUCCUAUUUGUGAUGAUUAUGAGGAACCAUUCACACAAAAAUAUAUCAAAAGACAAAAAAAUUAUUUUAUUA